UCCUACGGGAGGCAGCAGUAGGGAAUCUUCCACAAUGGACGAAAGUCUGAUGGAGCAACGCCGCGUGAGCGAAGAAGGGUUUCGGCUCGUAAAGCUCUGUUGGUAGUGAAGAAAGAUAGAGGGAGUAACUGGCCUUUAUUUGACGGGAAUUACUUUGAAAGUCACGGCUAACUACGUGCCAGCAGCCGCGGUAAUACGUAGGUGGGAAGCGUUGUCCGGAUUUAUUGGGCGGAAAGCGAGUGGAGGCGGGUCAAUAAGUAU
rnacentral:rRNA from 1 species